UUUUAUGAACCCCUAAUUUAUAAUGAAUGACUCCAUAUUUAUAUGGAAGACACCAUGCUAGGAUUAGUAACAAGAAUUUAUAAUUCUCCAAAAUGCAAAUAUAAACCAACAUGGAUAGACCAUUGGUAGUUACCGAACCUAAAUUCAAUGCAAUAACAUCCACAAGAAAACUCUGCAGUACUCACUCGUUAACCUAACACCAGCGCAUUACAGGAAAGAUUUAAAAAAAGAGAAGGAAUUCGGCAAAUGACGGCCCCGCCUGUUUACCAAAAACAUCGCCUCUUGACUUAUAAUAAGAGGUCCAGCCUGCCCAGUGAAUUUUAAACGGCCGCGGUAUCCUAACCGCGCGAAGGUAGCAUAAUCACUUGUUCUUUAAAUGGGGACUUGUAUCAACGGCAUCACGAGGGUUUUACUGUCUCCUCUUUUUGAUCAGUGAAAUUGAUCUUCCCGUGAAGAAGCGGGAAUAUUUUUAUAAGACGAGAAGACCCCAUGGAGCUUUAAACCAAAUAACAACUUAACCACUUAUCCCAUAAUAAAUUUAAGCCCUGUUAUAAGGUUUUUGGUUGGGGUGACCGCGGAGUAAAGCACAUCCUCCACGACGGAAAGAACAGAAUCUUUAUUUAAGAACCACACUUCUAGAAAUUAGUAUACUAACGUUUACUGACCCGACAAUCGAUCAACGGACCAAGUUACCCUGGGGAUAACAGCGCAAUCUACUUCAAGAGCUCAUAUCGACAAGUAGGCUUACGACCUCGAUGUUGGAUCAGGGUAUCCCGGUGGUGCAGCCGCUACCGAAGGUUCGUUUGUUCAACGAUUAAAACCCUACGUGA
rnacentral:rRNA from 1 species